UAGCGUAGGGUGCAAGCGUUAAUCGGAAUUAGCUAGGGCGUAAAGCGUGCGCAGGCGGUUUUGAUAAGGUCUGUCGUGAAAUCCCCGGGCUUAACCUGGGAAUGGCGAUGGAGACUGCAAGGCUAGAGUUUGGCAGAGGGGGGUAGAAUUCCACGUGUAGCAGUGAAAUGCGUAGAGAUGUGGAGGAACACCGAUGGCGAAGGCAGCCCCCUGGGUCAAGACUGACGCUCAUGACACGAAAGGCGUGGGGGAGCAAACAGG
rnacentral:rRNA from 1 species